rnacentral:rRNA from 1 species
AUUGAACGCUGGCGGCAGGCCUAACACAUGCAAGUCGCGCGAUUGGCGGACGGGUGAGUAAUGUCUGGGCAUCUGCCUGAUGGAGGGGGAUAACUACUGGAUUCGGUAGCUAAUUCCGCAUACCAUCUGUUGUGCCCAGAUGGGAUUGGCUGGUUGGUGGGGUAACGGCUCACCAAGGCUACGAUCCCUAGCUGGUCUGAGAGGAUGACAAGCCAAACGGGAACGAGGAUAGGGUCCAGACUCGUACGGGAGGCAGCGGCGGGGAUGAUGGUAAAAGGGGCGCAAGCCUGGUGGAGCAAUGCGGCGUGUAUGAAGAAGGCCUUGGGGUUGGAGAGUACUGUCGGCGGGGAGGUGUGAGAUGUAGAAGAAGCAGUUGCUAACUCCGUGCCAGCAGCCGCGGUAAUAC